rnacentral:rRNA from 1 species
GCGGCAGGCUAACACAUGCAAGUCGAACGAACUCUUCGGAGUUAGUGGCGGACGGGUGAGUAACACGUGGGAACGUGCCUUUAGGUUCGGAAUAACUCAGGGAAACUUGUGCUAAUACCGAAUGUGCCCUUCGGGGGAAAGAUUUAUCGCCUUUAGAGCGGCCCGCGUCUGAUUAGCUAGUUGGUGAGGUAAAGGCUCACCAAGGCGACGAUCAGUAGCUGGUCUGAGAGGAUGAUCAGCCACAUUGGGACUGAGACACGGCCCAAACUCCUACGGGAGGCAGCAGUGGGGAAUCUUGCGCAAUGGGCGAAAGCCUGACGCAGCCAUGCCGCGUGAAUGAUGAAGGUCUUAGGAUUGUAAAAUUCUUUCACCGGGGACGAUAAUGACGGUACCCGGAGAAGAAGCCCCGGCUAACUUCGUGCAGCAACCUGGGUAAUACGAAGGGGGCUAGCGUUGCUCGGAAUUACUGGGCGUAAAGGGAGCGUAGGCGGGACAUUUAAGUCAGGGGU